ensembl:lncRNA
GUGGUAAGUCCCAGUCAUCUUAAACUUUCACCUAUAUAGGGUUAAAAUUUGUGAUGGUGCCAGGUAUUAAUGUGAUAAUCAUACCUGAGAAAUUUUAAAUGUCAAAAAAAGUUUUCUGUAUAAAUGGCCAUUGCUGCAUGGUUUAUUUUAGUCUCAAAACUGGCCAAAAAUAGCUUUGUUUUUCUAAUUGGAAAUAGUUCCAAUUUACAGUAAUGUUGCAAGAAUGGUAAACUAAAUCCCAUAUACAUUUCACCUGUGUACAGCAAGUGUGAACGUCGUGCAUGCUUGCUUUCACAGAAGUGUUAACGUGCUUACAGCUUGCCUCUUGAUCCCCAAACACUUAAGCACAUUUCUUUCCAAAAUGGACCUUUAGGUUUUCCCAGUGUUGGUGGUGGCAACUUUGACCACAUGGAUGCAGUGAUGCAGAAUCACUUAUUUUUUCAGUUUUAAUUGUUGGUUAAUUUUAACUUGAGGAAAUUGUGAAUAUGUAAAAUACCCAUACAUCUUGCCAUCAUAGAGGACAGUUUUUAGGUAUGCAGUUAGUGGCAGUACAGCGUUCACUUCGUUGUGCCACAGUCACUACUUUCCAUUUCCAGAGAUCUCAGCCUGCAAAGCUGAAACUACCCUUCGGACAGUAACUCCUUUCUCCUCUCUCCCCUCAGCCUGGCAAGCACCAUUCUACUUUGUCUCCAAUUUCGGCUGCUCUAGGCAUCUCAUGUAAGUGGAAUCCUACAUUCCCUUUUCUGACUUGAUCACUUAGCUUACUGUUCUCAAGGUUCAUCCAUGUUGUACCAUUCAUUCUAAGACUGAGUAACAGUCUCUUGUCUGUAUAUACCACCUUUUGUCAAUCCAUUUUGUUGACAGACACUUGGGUUGCUUCCACCUUUUGGCCAUUGUGAAUAAUAUACUGCCUUGAACAUGGGUAUACAAAUACUUCUUUUAGGACCCUACUUUCAAUUUUUUCAUGUAUAUACCCAGAAGUGGAAAUGGUGGAUCAUAUGGUAAUUCUGUCUAAUUUUUUGAAGAACUGCCAUGCUGUUUUCCAUAAUGGCUAUUUAACAUUCUCACCAACAGGACCAAUUUGUCCACAUCCUCACCAACACUUAUUUUCUGUUUUUUUGAUAGUAGCCAUCCUAAUAGAUGUGAGAUUGUAUUAUAUUGUAGUUUUGAUUUGUAUUUCCCUAAUAAUUAGUGACACUGAACAUUUGUGUUCAGUGGGUUGCAUUUUCACUGUUGCACCCUCUCACACAAUUGGUUUUAAUUUUGGUGUAGUUCAGCUUAUUUGUUUCCUCUUUAACUGCCUGUUCUUCUGUGGUGUCCAAGAAAUAAUUGUCGGAUCCAAUGUCAUGAAGCUUUUCUUACAGUAGUUUUCUCUCUUGUAUUUAGGUCUUUGAUCCAUUUUGAGUUAACUUGCAUUUGAUUUAAGGUAAUUGCUCUGUCUAGGACUUCUAGUACUGUUUUAUUAGAAGUCUCAAAAACAGACAUCCUGGGACUUCCCAGUGGUUGAGAAUCUGCCUGCAAUGCAAUGUGGGUUUGAUCGCUGGUCAGGGAGCUAAGACCUCACAUGCCACAGAGCAAGGAAGCCUGAGCACCACAAAUAAAUAGCCUGUGUGCUACAACGAAAGAUCCUGCAUGCUGCCACGAAGACCGGAAGCAGCCACAUCAGUCAGUCCAGUAAAUAUUUUUUAAAUGGGCAUCCUUAACUUUUCCUGAUCUUAGAGGAAGAGCUUUCAGUUUUUCACCACAGAGUAUGAUGUUAUCUGUGGGCUUGUCAUGUAUGGCCUUUAUUAUGUUGUUAUAGUUUCCUUCUGUUCAGUUUGUUGAAUGUUUUUUUUAUCAUGAAGAGAUGUUGAAUUUUGUCAAACACUUUUUCUGCAUCAAUUAGGAUGGUCAUGUGGGUUUUACCCUUUGUUCUGUUAAUGUGAUGUAUCACACUAAUUGAUAUUUGUGUUUUGAACCAUAAAGUACAUAAUUCUUUUAUGUGCUAUUGAAUUUUGUUGGCUAAGAUUUUGUUGAAGAUUUUUUUUUAAACAUUUACUAGGAAAAGCACCAUGAUUUUGUUGCUGUCAUUAACAUUAGUCACAAGGUGAUUAAAAUUUGUGCUUACCUCUAUAUUAAUCGAAUACUGUCCUGUCUUAACGGUUGAAAGCAUGGAACACCUGUGAUAGCUAAUGAAGUACACUCUUGUUUAUAUUGUAUACUGUAGUCAUGCGAUUCCUAGACGAUGGCCU